CGCGUUUGAGUAUCACACCAGAUUUUAUUUAUAUUCGAGCGAAAAAUGUAUUAACAAAUAUACCUUUAUUGCGCACACUUAAUCACAGAUAACAUUUUUCGGAGAUCAUCCUGGAGAACAGCUACGGGAUCGUUUUAGAUGAUACGUACAGCCGUAAGGUCAACAAAACUACAAUACUCUGUAGCAACUGAUUGCAAGAGUAUAAAAAACACGCCAAAGCCCCUCAAAAAUUAAGGUGAUGUUAAAUUUUUUUAAAAAUUCGUGGUUGGAUGCAUCAUGAAUUUAUUCCGCAGGAACAGACGGUGAAUGAGGAGUUAUAUUUGGCCUGCUUGAGGCAUGUGCAUUAUAACAUCCGUAAACAGUCGAGGAACAAUUCAUGGAUUUUACAUGAUGAUAAUUCAUGAUUGUGGCCGAAUUGAAAGUCAAAAACGCAAUCAAUACCAUCGAUCAAACACCUUAUUAUAUUUGGUUCAGUGUGAUUUAUUCUAUUCAUUCAAUCGGAGAGAUAAAACAAAAUUCGCGGAAGGUGCUGAAGGCCAUCCCAAAACGAGUUUAUGAAAAGUGUUUCGAGGAAAAAUCGUUGCCAUAUGUGUAUUGCAUCUGGUGGGGAUUACUUUGAAGGCGACAAAAUAAAUAUUUAUGAAUAAUUAAAUAUUUUGCGUUUUUUACAAUUCAUUUACUUUUUUGUAACAAUAUAAAGUUUA